UUGACUUUUGUCAGAUGACGAUGUUCCACCCUGAAUAUUUUGAAAAAUCCACAGUCUCUAAAGGUAGUGGCACUGCACUUGCCUCACUUUAUCCAGCCCUGCCAGCACCAAAAUUCAAGGUGCAUUUUCAGGUGAGGUCCCACAAUGCCACAUUUGAGCGCCAUAGAGACAGCUAAAGUGAAGUUAUGCUACUGUAAAUAGGUUAAGGAGAUUUUUGUCAUUUAGCCAGCUCAGUUUCAGCAAAAGUACAACAAGACAGGGCUCAGCACCCAGUGAAAAGCCAACCCCAAAGCAUGGAAAGCCCAUUGAAAAUGCCAUUCAUGCAAGUGGAAGAAAACAACAAACACUUGAGAAAAGGUGAUUUCAGCACAUUCAGCUGCAUGGAUGGACCUUCCCCAUACUGGAUGGACAGGAUGAUUCAGAUCAGGGAAGAAGAAAAGUGAAUUUUAGCAUCUAAUACCCUGUGCUUGCAAGUGA